CUCCAGCAAGGAGGUGGCACUUUCAAGAGUGUGUCAGCAGCAGUACUAUAGGGAGGAUGCCGGCUUGCCCUAGGGUUGCUUGGUUAAGUAUUCAGGUUUCUCAGGCAGUAGGCAGGGCCAUAGAACUCUCAUAUGCCCUUUAUCUUCAGCAACCAGGGUGGGCAGAGAAAGGCCACCAGGUAGGGGCAAGGAUAGGUGUGUCUGAGCUCAGACUCUUCUUGGGCAGGGCUUGCUGUGGCUGUUGUGUGGGAUGGAAGUCUGGUUCCCAGGCCAAUGGAGUUAUAUUCCCAGGGGGAUUAUGGCUGCCUCUGCUAUGUCAUGCAGGUCACCAGCGAUGUUGAGGAAAGCCGGCAGCCACAGACCUCACUCUGCUGCCAUGCAGCCUGCAGUUGUAAAGGCUGGUCUCACACCCACUGUGCCCCUUCAACAGCACUGAAUCUAUUUCCAGGCAGCAAAUGACCAGGGCAUAGAAGUUGCCACAGAUCCCCAGCCUGCACGCUGAGAAAACAAGCAGAUUCACAGAUUUUUGGUGUCUCAGGGAGCCUACAGUGGUGAUCCGGUUCCUUCGAAGGGUCUGUGGAUUCUCUCAAGUUUACUGUUGUUACAACGGUCAAAGUCAUCCGAAAGUUUCUGAAGUAUUUCUGUGAGUUCAUUCCUUACUAAUCCCAACAAUGAGAGGUAAGUGAAAAAUGAUACCAUUUCUGAAAUUCAGAAAAAAACGUGGUCUUCAUGAAUCAUUGGAAAUUUCCAGUGGCAAUAGAAAUUCUGAACUGAAGGCACUAACUUAGAAGAUCUGUCAGUGAGUGAUGACUAUAGAACAACUAUGCAGCAUCAUCCAUGAUCAGCUGUGCAUAAGCUUAGCCAAGGCGGAGUUCUGUAAUGACCUUCACCCCACGGGAGUUAACAGAGUGAAGCUGACCUGCU
rnacentral:lncRNA from 10 species